CAAAGCACUUUGAAGAGAGAGUUAAAGAGGACGUGAAACUGGCACGAUGGAAACGGAUAGAGCUAGCGAACUCGUUCGUAUUCAGCCAACGGUUCUGGGUUCGGUUUUGUUGUGUUUCAGUUUUGUGCACGCAGAAUCGAGCGCCUAGAUUCCAAGGUGCAUUUGCGGACGAUUGCGCCGAGACUUGCAGGGCAGCGGUAGGACCCGGUUCAUGAGGCCUCCUUUUGGUUGUACCCUGGACUGGUAUACGACUGUUUGCUCUGCUAGUAAUGUUGGUUCGGCCUCGGGUGAAACUGCCGUUGGCGUUCUCUUGCGGUGGCAACAGCACGCUUUGCCUAACUUGGGGAUUCCGGCUGCGGUGUAGCUCUCGAACUGUCUCUCGGUGUAAAAUCUGGUCAUCUAUCCGACCCGUCUUGAAACACGGACCAAGGAGUUUAGCGUAUGUGCGAGCCACUGGGUAUUGCAAAACCUAUGGGCACAAUGAAAGUGAAGACUCGGUCGCCGAGCUUACAUGCGACUGUGCUAGCUUCGGCUGGUGCGGGCAGCAUGGUCCCGUUUCAGUCGCUUGCGACGGAGCGGAGACAGAGUGCAUGCGCUGAGACCCGAAAGAUGGUGAACUAUUCCUGAGCAGGACGAAGCCAGAGG
rnacentral:rRNA from 1 species